rnacentral:piRNA from 1 species
UUCUACAUGAACAGGGUCCACGGAUUGA